GCACGGGGGCAACCCUGGUGGCGAGUGGCGAACGGGUGAGUAAUGCAUCGGAACGUGCCCAGUAGUGGGGGAUAACUAGUCGAAAGAUUAGCUAAUACCGCAUACGACCUACGGGUGAAAGCGGGGGACCUUUACCGGCCUCGCGCUAUCGGAGCGGCCGAUGUCUGAUUAGCUAGUUGGCGGGGUAAAAGCCCACCAAGGCGACGAUCAGUAGCUGGUCUGAGAGGACGACCAGCCACACUGGGACUGAGACACGGCCCAGACUCCUACGGGAGGCAGCAGUGGGGAAUUUUGGACAAUGGGCGCAAGCCUGAUCCAGCCAUGCCGCGUGCGGGAAGAAGGCCUUCGGG
rnacentral:rRNA from 1 species